UUGGAGGGCAAGUCUGGUGCCAGCAGCCGCGGUAAUUCCAGCUCCAAUAGCGUAUAUUAAAGUUGUUGCAGUUAAAAAGCUCGUAGUUGAAUUUCGAGAUCAGUACGCUGGUCGUGCCUUCGGUAUGCACUGGUGUCACUGGUUUCUCCCUUCUGAAGAACCAUCAUGUCAUUAAGUUGGUGUGGCGGGGAAUCAGGACUGUUACUUUGAAAAAAUUAGAGUGUUUAAAGCAGGCUCGCGCUUGAAUACAUUAGCAUGGAAUAAUGAAAUAGGACGUUUGACCCUAUUUUGUUGGUUUCUAGGAUCGACGUAAUGAUUAAUAGGGAUAGUUGGGGGCAUUAGUAUUCAAUUGUCAGAGGUGAAAUUCUUGGAUUUAUUGAAGACUAACUACUGCGAAAGCAUUUGCCAAGGAUGUUUUCAUUAAUCAAGAACGAAAGUUAGGGGAUCGAAGACGAUCAGAUACCGUCGUAGUCUUAACCAUAAACUAUGCCGACUAGGGAUCGGAUGAUGUUAAUUUUUUAAUGACUCAUUCGGCGCCUUACGGGAAAC
rnacentral:rRNA from 1 species